rnacentral:rRNA from 1 species
UACGGAGGGUGCGAGCGUUGUCCGGAAUCACUGGGCGUAAAGGGCGCGUAGGUGGCGGUCCAAGUCAACGGUGAAAGCUCGGGGCUCAACCCCGAGUCGGCCGUCGAUACUGGGUUGCUUGAGCACUGUAGAGGCAGAUGGAAUUCCGGGUGUAGCGGUGGAAUGCGUAGAGAUCCGGAAGAACACCGGUGGCGAAGGCGGUCUGCUGGGCAGUAGCUGACACUGAGGCGCGACGAGCGUGGGG